rnacentral:rRNA from 1 species
AUGUGGGCCACAGUUGUAAUGCUUGGGGGUUUCUGCACCCUGCUCGAACCAACCGAUUUCUGGUCUACAACAGCUAUAAUAUUUAUUGAAGCUUUCAGAUUUUUCACUCGAGAUAACCGUUUGGAGAAUCACCCGUUGUUUGGAACUAAUGCAGCUAUUAAAAAGCUAACAUCUCACAGUGUGUUAAAGGAUGAAAAACAUACAUUUUAUGCGGUAUUGGCAGUUGUCAGCUUAUGUGACAGGAUACUUUUUGUUUGUCCGAGAAAUGUCAAGGGCAUCGCUCUCAUUGUAAUGGCAGCUUCCGGGGUUCUGAUUGGCAAUCUGCCUUUUGCCGUGCAGACAAUCCUGCAACAUCAUCUGUGGCUCUUCUUAAGCUCUCUGCUUGUCAUUCUACUCACCCUCUCCGCCCAAUUGAUCAGAAAAUUCUGGAUCCGUGGUAAGUCUCAAGGAUCUCAACUUGCAGUUGUACUAGUGCACACUGCAGUGCUAUUACUCAUGGUCAUAGUGCAGAGCAUAUCCGUUUACAUUCUUGUAUGCAAACCGCCACGGGUUAGGCAGAUAAUAAGCAAGUGGAUUAAAGUGUUAUACCUUGUUAAGGUGGUGCUGGGCUUAGCCUUGAUAGUGGGGAUGUUUUCUCUCUUCCUGCCUUCUGUUGACUGGUUCGUCUAUGGUAAUUUAGUGAAGAUGAUGGUAACCCUGAUCUUCGCACUAAGCACCAUUCCGAGCCCAAACAAUGAAACUGCGUACUAUUGGAUGGACGUCGGCUUGUGCAUAUCAAUGGCAAUCAGCUGGGUUUUCUGCAUCGAGUCUGCAGUUUUUAACCCAGGGGUGCUGCUUGUUAUACUUAUCUGUGGUAACCUGCAGCUCCCGGCAGCAAUAGCGCGUAUGCUGCUAUCAGCCAUGAGGCUUCAAGAUCAGCAGCUUGUUAAAUCGUAUCCCACUCCAGGAAGCAAAAAUUUAUUGCCUACGCUACAUCUUUUUUACUGGUUUGUGAUCUUCCAAGGCACAUUCUAUUUGUGUGCUUGCAUUAUCAACUUUUAUGGGGCUAAACUGCAGUUGCACAAUGAAAAGGGCUUGGGGGAUGUUCAAAAGGAAGAAGCAGCAUUUGGCCCUCAAACCAUUCUGGACACUUAUGGGACUAGACUGCAGUUGCACAAUGAAAAGGGUUUGGGGGAUGUUCAAACAGAAGAAGAAGCAUUUGUCUCUCAAACCAUUCCAGACGGUUCUAUAGCAAUUAGCAUAAGAUCUGACGAGGAACAAUCAAACACCAAUCCAGUUAACUGCAUACUGGUCGGGACACUCCCUGUCCCCCUAUAA